GGCACAGGUUAUCCAUUGACACUGCUUUUC
rnacentral:piRNA from 1 species